rnacentral:lncRNA from 1 species
UGAUAGCCGAAUGGUAAAGAACAUCUAGCCGCUCGAGAACACCUUUACCUGCCGAUCUACAAAUUGCGUCUCCGUAAUCUAGCAUGGGUAGGAUGGUGAAGAUGCUUGAAGAGAGCUUGGCCAGGUCUCUGCUGCAAUCAUACUGGAAAUGGACAGAUUUUUGGGGGUAUUGCUUUGUAAGUUGUUCUAAGUAUUAUCUCUGGCUAGUCUGUUAUACAGUCUCUGGCUUGUUGAGUUUUGACUUGGGUAAAGAGAUUUGAUGUUUGCAUGAUAAAUAAGUCCUUGUCACACCUCAUACCAGAUGUGUUAUUACUUGGCCAUUAGUUUAUUGCACUUUCGUUUCCAAUAAGCCCCUGCCAAAAUGAGUCCACCGAAAAUGACCAUGACUAAUACUUUGAUAUAUAAUAAUUAUUUAUUUAUCAUGAAUAGACAAUAUAUAUAUAUAUACAACAAGUAAUAAAGCCAUAACGUAUUUGUUAUACUGUUUUGGUGAAUAAACAUGAUUUAAUUAUCAACAUGUACUUCAAAUAUUCAUAGAAAAACAAUACACUCUAUAUAAUUUAUAUUUUAACACAUUUUGUACGUUUUUUAAUAAAUAAUGAUAUCUGUGCAAAAUAACUCCAAGUGCAUAUGAAUAUUGCCAAACAACAAAUUGGUAUUAUAGAAUGAGGAACGCAACCAGAGUUGACUCAGAACAUACUAUGCUUUGUUGCCAUGACAAGCAAAAUAAAGAUUUGUCACAAAGAAACUUCACUUGAUGAAUAAAAAAGCUCUCAUGACACAUUGUCCAAAUGCAGCUUUUGCCCAAUUAGUCACAACUGUCUAUCUUCACAGUUAUUGCAAGUGAACACUGUCAACACUUACAAAAGGCAAACACAACAGUAACAUAGUAGGACAUAGAUUGAAAACUUGACAAAGUAAGCUCAUUGCCACUUUUGCACUGUCACAGUAUAUUUUUAACAAUGACACCACCACAUUCAGGACAUUCAGUGCACUUUUUUCAUUUAUUUUCAGCUUUAUCAAUGUCCCGCACCUGUGUGAUGUCAUUAGUUCCGCUUCCCCUUUAACAGUCAGUGUUCC